rnacentral:rRNA from 1 species
CAGGACGAACGCUGGCGGCGUGCCUAAUACAUGCAAGUCGAACGGCUUUUCUAUGGAAGCUUGCUUCCACUGAGAAGAUAGUGGCGAACGGGUGAGUAACACGUGGGUAACCUGCCCAUAAGAGGGGGGAUAACAUCCGGAAACGGGUGCUAAUACCGCAUAGUUUUCUUGAUCGCAUGAUUGAGAAAGGAAAGACGGCCUUUGUGCUGUCGCUUAUGGAUGGACCCGCGGCGUAUUAGUUAGUUGGUGAGGUAACGGCUCACCAAGACGAUGAUACGUAGCCGACCUGAGAGGGUGAUCGGCCACAUUGGGACUGAGACACGGCCCAAACUCCUACGGGAGGCAGCAGUAGGGAAUCUUCCGCAAUGGACGAAAGUCUGACGGAGCAACGCCGCGUGAGUGAAGAAGGUUUUCGGAUCGUAAAACUCUGUUGUCAGAGAAGAACAAGUUGGAGAGUAACUGCUCCAGCCUUGACGGUAUCCGACCAGAAAGCCACGGCUAACUACGUGCCAGCCGCCGC